rnacentral:rRNA from 1 species
AGUGAACGCUGGCGGUAGGCCUAACACAUGCAAGUCGAACGGCAGCACAGUAAGAGCUUGCUCUUACGGGUGGCGAGUGGCGGACGGGUGAGGAAUACAUCGGAAUCUACUUUUUCGUGGGGGAUAACGUAGGGAAACUUACGCUAAUACCGCAUACGACCUACGGGUGAAAGCAGGGGAUCUUCGGACCUUGCGCGAUUGAAUGAGCCGAUGUCGGAUUAGCUAGUUGGCGGGGUAAAGGCCCACCAAGGCGACGAUCCGUAGCUGGUCUGAGAGUAUGAUCAGCCACACUGGAACUGAGACACGGUCCAGACUCCUACGGGAGGCAGCAGUGGGGAAUAUUGGACAAAGGGCGCAAGCCUGAUCCAGCCAUACCGCGUGGGUGAAGAAGGCCUUCGGGUUGUAAAGCCCUUUUGUUGGGAAAGAAAAGCAGCAGGUUAAUACCCCGCUGUUCUGACGGUACCCAAAGAAUAAGCACCGGCUAACUUCGUG